GUUACCCUGUUGGAUUCCAGAUCAGUUCAGGGAGAACUCGGGUGGAUAGCGAGUCCUGUGGAAGGAGGGUGGGAGGAAGUAAGCAUUAUGGAUGAGAAAAACACUCCGAUCCGCACCUAUCAAGUCUGCAAUGUGAUGGAGCCCAGUCAGAACAAUUGGUUACGAACUGAUUGGAUUCCCCGUGAGGGGGCUCAGCGGGUAUAUAUUGAAAUUAAGUUCACACUAAGAGACUGCAAUAGCCUGCCAGGUGUCAUGGGAACAUGCAAAGAGACUUUUAACCUCUACUACUAUGAAUCCAACAAUGAUAAGGAACGUUUUAUCCGAGAGAGCCAGUUUGCCAAGAUUGAUACUAUUGCAGCUGAUGAAAGUUUCACCCAGGUGGACAUCGGUGACCGGAUCAUGAAGCUGAACACGGAAAUCCGUGAUGUGGGGCCACUAAGCAAAAAAGGGUUUUACCUGGCUUUUCAGGAUGUAGGUGCUUGCAUUGCUUUGGUGUCUGUUCGUGUUUUUUACAAGAAGUGUCCAUUGACAGUUCGCAACCUGGCUCAGUUUCCGGACACCAUCACUGGGGCUGAUACAUCCUCUCUGGUAGAGGUUCGUGGUUCCUGUGUCAACAACUCAGAAGAGAAGGAUGUGCCAAAAAUGUACUGUGGGGCAGAUGGUGAAUGGCUAGUACCCAUUGGCAACUGUCUGUGCAAUGCUGGGUAUGAAGAGCGCAAUGGGGAAUGCCAAGCUUGCAAAAUUGGAUACUACAAGGCUCUCUCAACGGAUGUUGCCUGUGCCAAAUGCCCACCCCAUAGCUACUCCAUCUGGGAAGGCUCUACCUCCUGCACCUGUGAUCGGGGCUUUUUCCGAGCGGAAAAUGAUGCUGCCUCCAUGCCCUGUACUCGCCCUCCAUCUUCUCCCCAGAACUUGAUUUCCAAUGUCAAUGAGACAUCAGUGAACUUGGAGUGGAGCCCCCCUCAGAACAAAGGUGGCCGUGAAGACAUCUCCUACAACAUAGUGUGCAAGAGAUGUGGUGCCAAUGACCUUAACCGCUGUCGGUCAUGUGGCAGUGGUGUGCACUUCAGCCCCCAGCAGAAUGGCUUAAAAACCACAAAGGUCUCUAUUACUGACCUUCUGGCACACACUAACUACACCUUUGAAGUUUGGGCAGUGAAUGGAGUAUCCAAGCAAAAUCCCAGCCAGGACCAGGCUGUUUCAGUCACUGUGACAACCAACCAAGCAGCUCCGUCUCCGAUUGCUUUGAUACAAGCUAAGGAAAUAACAAGGCAUAGUGUUGCAUUGGCGUGGCUGGAACCUGACAGGCCAAAUGGAGUCAUUUUGGAAUAUGAGGUCAAAUACUAUGAGAAGGACCAAAAUGAGCGCAGCUAUCGCAUUGUGAAAACAGCUACUAGGAACACAGACAUCAAAGGCCUGAACCCUUUGACUUCAUAUGUGUUCCAUGUUCGGGCCAGGACAGCAGCAGGAUAUGGGGACUUCAGCGGACCAUUUGAAUUCACCACUAACACAGUUCCUUCCCCCAUCAUUGGCGAUGGUACCAGUCCCACAGUUCUUCUGGUCUCAGUGGCUGGCAGUGUUGUUCUUGUAGUCAUUCUCAUUGCUGCCUUUGUCAUCAGCAGGAGACGCAGCAAGUACAGUAAAGCUAAGCAAGAGGCAGAUGAGGAGAAACAUCUGAAUCAAGGUGUUAGAACAUAUGUGGAUCCUUUCACAUAUGAGGAUCCAAACCAAGCUGUGCGGGAAUUUGCCAAAGAAAUCGAUGCCUCCUGUAUAAAGAUUGAAAAAGUCAUAGGUGUGGGUGAAUUUGGUGAGGUAUGCAGUGGACGUCUCAAAGUGCCAGGAAAAAGAGAGAUCUGUGUUGCUAUCAAGACUCUAAAAGCUGGCUACACUGAUAAACAAAGGAGGGACUUCCUGAGUGAGGCCAGCAUCAUGGGACAGUUUGACCACCCCAACAUCAUCCACUUGGAAGGUGUUGUUACCAAAUGUAAACCGGUAAUGAUCAUAACUGAGUACAUGGAAAAUGGCUCCUUGGAUGCCUUCCUCAGGAAGAACGAUGGCAGAUUUACAGUAAUCCAGUUGGUAGGGAUGCUACGUGGCAUUGGCUCUGGAAUGAAGUAUCUGUCUGACAUGAGUUAUGUGCAUCGGGAUCUAGCUGCCCGAAAUAUACUAGUCAACAGCAACUUGGUUUGCAAAGUAUCUGAUUUUGGCAUGUCUCGUGUCCUGGAAGAUGAUCCUGAAGCAGCUUAUACCACACGGGGUGGCAAGAUUCCCAUCAGGUGGACUGCACCAGAAGCAAUUGCCUACCGUAAAUUUACAUCAGCUAGUGAUGUGUGGAGCUAUGGCAUUGUAAUGUGGGAAGUGAUGUCAUAUGGAGAAAGACCUUACUGGGAUAUGUCCAAUCAAGAUGUUAUUAAAGCCAUUGAAGAAGGGUAUCGACUGCCACCCCCAAUGGAUUGCCCCAUCGCUCUCCAUCAGCUGAUGCUGGACUGUUGGCAGAAGGAACGUAGCGACAGGCCUAAAUUUGGACAGAUCGUCAACAUGCUGGACAAACUCAUCCGCAACCCCAACAGCUUGAAGAGGACAGGCGCAGAGAGCUCCAGGCCCAACACUGCUCUUUUGGAUCCAAGUUCUCCAGAAUUCUCAGCUGUCGUUUCUGUUGGUGAUUGGCUCCAAGCCAUUAAAAUGGAGCGAUACAAGGAUAAUUUCACAGCUGCUGGCUAUACCACCCUAGAGGCUGUGGUGCAUAUGAACCAGGAUGACCUAGCAAGAAUUGGGAUUACUGCUAUAGCGCAUCAGAACAAGCUUUUGAACAGCGUCCAAGCAAUGCGGACCCAAAUGCAACAGAUGCACGGCAGAAUGGUUCCCGUCUGAGCCAGUACUGAAUAAACUCAAACUCUUGAAAUUAGUUUACCUCAUCCAUGCACUUUAAUUGAAGAACUGCACUUUUUUUACUUCGUCUCCUCGCCAGUUGAAAUAAGGAACUGCAGUGUUGCUUGAUGUACAGAUUUGCUGGAACUCUGAGGGGGAGCCUAUGGAAAUGACAAGCUGUCAUUUUAAACCAGACCUGGAACAAAUUGUUUCUUGGAACAUACUUCUCUGUUGUUCAACGAUAUGUAAAAUACAUGUAUCUAUAUAAAUAUAACAUCACAUUCAAGUUUUGAUGCUGUGUUUGCUGCCAGAUACUGUGCUUAGAUAAAAUUAACUCUUUCCUCAGUGACCCUUAGGAUUACAACAGUAGUAUUUUAUUUGUGGGCUGUACCACAGUUGUGCAUCUUUUACUGGAAUGAAGAAUCUGUCCCAGGAUGUUUUCUGCAGAUUCAGUGUUUUACCCAUACCAUGCAGAAACCUAAGUGAGAGUAUCAUUUGGCUGAUCAGUGCCUCUCAGUCAGUGACUUACCCGUCUAUGGGCUGAUUCAGGAAACAGCCCACCUCAUGGAUUACUGGGCAGAACUGGACUUCUGGAGGGAUUGGUUUUGGCUGUUGUUGUGCCAUACUGUAUCCUACCCUAUAAGUCUUUUGUGACCAACUUGCUGACAGUCAGCUGUGACAAUCUUGGCUGUGGAACUUUCAGGCUUUUUCCCCUUCCAAGGAGCAAUCACUUUUGUCACAUUGAAAAGGGAAAAGAGGUUCUGCUUCCAAUAGCCCUUCCUAUUGAUCAUAUUGACCAUGGAAGAACAUAAAGACCAGCCUUGAAGCCUUCCAGAUUCCACAAGCACAGCUUCAACAGCACUGAUUCUGGGGAACACAGACACUGAAUAAGCAACAUCAGUCCCUGGAGAGUGUGACUCUUAAUUUCUUCUUUUUUUUUUUCUUUUGGCAUUGAAACAAUACAAAAUGAUGCUAAGAUUCAGCGUCUGUUUUCCAGUUGUCACUUGAAGAAUGUACUGUAUCAAAGCCCUGCAGACUUCUUUUUUUGCUCUCUCUUCCUUCUGAUGGUUUUAUUUAUAUAUUUUGAAGGUUUUUUUCCCUCUGUACGUCAUUGAUGCAUCCUGUAUAAGUGCAAGUGACCAAGCUCUACAGGUAUUAAUUACUAUGGACACCAGGUCAGGUGCCACAACACAGAACCCAGUUCACAUGAGCUGCCUGUAUAUGUUGAUGAAGUGACAUUUUACACAAAAUGUGCCACUGCAGUGAUAUAAAUAUAUUUUUCCCUAGAAUGGAUAAUGAACUUAUCUCUUCUGAAUUGUGUGUGUGUGUUCGCGUGUGUGUGUGUUUGCGUGUAUGUCACCUUAAGUAGAACUUCCUGUGAAAGUGCCGAAAGCAUCCCUGGGACCUUUGGAUUCCAUUCAUUCCUAGCUGAAGAGUUAUAUGAGAGAGCAGGCCUAUAGCUGGUGUCUGCAGUGGUAGUAAGAAAUCACAAAAAUAUUUACAUUUCUGUAUUUGUAAAUGUCUUUUGUAGCUGCCACACUAACCUUUAUGACUAGUCCGGCAGCCUGGAACAGGGGCACUUUCACUUUAGUUGUGGAGGGAUAAAUUAUAUGAUCCAUAAGGGCAAUUAAAAGAUUUCCAUCAAUAUCACUUAUUCUUAUCAAAGCCUGUUCAAAACCACCAGUUUCUUGAUGAGAAGAUAAGGAAGCUGAUGCCUCUUUCUAUCUGUUGGUAACCCUGAACUGAACUCUUAAGUAGCCUUUCUUUUCUGCAAAUAGGAUUUUAAAGACUUGUUGAAUGAGAAAAAAUAUAUGCAAUUCUUAUCCAUUCAUAGAAUCACAUUGUUCAUUAUACCAGCUGGGAGAAGGUAGUGUCCUGUAGCUGGCAGUGAAACACUUUGUUUUCUCCCAGCAUGAUCAUGGAACAAAAAAUGUGAGGGACAUUUAAGAUUACAGUGAUAAGCAAAAGGGUUGGAAAGUUAGUCAUGUUCCUCGAAUCUGUAACUAAAGACUAGGAGAAUUGAUGUAGAAGCUAAUUGUUAUGGCCCAAGAAAUAGGCUAACAACCUACCAGUACUACCUAGAAAAAAUUAUUGAGUUUCAAAAAUUCGCUGUAAAAUAUUCAUGAAGUUGAGUUGUAUGCUAGGCUCUGGGGAAAGUGCUGCCAUUCCACAUUUUGAACUGAGCAGCUGAUAUGCUCAACCCUCCUUCUGGUUGUAAAGAACUGAUGAUGUCUACUGAGGUGGCAGUACAGCACAGCAAACUAUAACAGGACAAAUGAUCAGUCAAACAUACUUGGGGCGUGGGGGGCGGGGGAGAUGGAUGAGCCACGUUAAAAGAAUGUGCAACAUUCAGUGGAGCAAACAGUGGUGUCUCCAACUUUUUUCUAUUUCCUGCUCCUUUCCUGGCUAUUUUUAAUUCAUUAUUAAUAAGUGUACUUGGUCUCAUGAACAAAAAAAUAAAAGUCAAUAUAGUGGGGAGGGAAGAGUGGGGCAAGUUAAUGUAGCCAUGCUGAAGGCAGAAACCAGACAGAACUAGUAGGGAGCCAGGAGGCAGGAGCUGUGUUGCAAACCCAGCAGAUGCACAUUGCUGUCAAGUGGUACAAAUGGAGCUUGGGUUAGAAUAUAAAUUACUACAGAGUUUGCUUCCAUUUUAUCCUCAUUACAGAAGAUGUCAUCAACAGGACUCUGACAUGAAAGCCUCUGUUUAAGAAGACAUUGUUCUGCUCACCACACCACCGAUUGAUGUUUGUCCAGGUUUCUUGCUGUACUAACUUUGUGAUGGAUCUAUGUACUAAAAAUAUAUAUGUAUAGAAAACAAAAGGCUGGUUUUCAACCAGUAAACAGGACUUAAAAAGCAGUAUUUUAUUUUAUGUGACAUUUUCAUAACCAGAAAAAAAACAUUCUGAAAUACUAAUCAGACAAAUAAAAAGAGAGUGCAUUUAUUUUUUUGUAUCACUGCAAGUAUGUUGGAAUACACAAGGACUGUGGUUAAAAUUAGAAUGUAUGAGGCAUAUUAUAAUUUAGUUCAUACUGAAAAAAAAUUCUAACAGAGCAUUUCUUGAGUCAUGCAUUUGAAUGAUCUCUGGGUUAGACAUAUAGAUUUUUCUAUUUUGUUUUAAUUUGUAAUUUUUCCCCUCCAUGAAUUUAGGUACACAUAACUUAUGUCAUUUAUUUAUGGUCUUUUAUACCUAGUUUGUAAAAUUGUAAAAUAGCAAACAAUGCAAAGGUUUGCAUUUGAGAACAAUAAAGUAGUUGCUGUACAA